rnacentral:rRNA from 1 species
AGUUGAUUAUGGCUCAGGACGAACGCUGGCGGCGUGCCUAACACAUGCAAGUCGAGCGAUGAAAUCCUUCGGGAUGGAUUAGCGGCGGACGGGUGAGUAACACGUGGGUAACCUGCCUUGUAGAGGGGGAUAGCCUUCCGAAAGGAAGAUUAAUACCGCAUAACAUCUUUUUUAUCGCAUGGUAGAAAGAUCAAAGGAGUAAUCCGCUACAAGAUGGACCCGCGGCGCAUUAGCUAGUUGGUGAGGUAACGGCUCACCAAGGCGACGAUGCGUAGCCGACCUGAGAGGGUGAUCGGCCACAUUGGAACUGAGACACGGUCCAGACUCCUACGGGAGGCAGCAGUGGGGAAUAUUGCGCAAUGGGGGGAAAAACCCCUGACGCAGCAACGCCGCGUGAAUGAAGAAGGCCUUAGGGUUGUAAAGUUCUGUUUACGGGGACGAUAAUGACGGUACCCGUGGAGGAAGCCACGGCUAACUACGUGCCAGCCGCUGC